AUUGAACGCUGGCGGCAUGCUUUACACAUGCAAGUCGAACGGUAACAGGGUGCUUGCACCGCUGACGAGUGGCGAACGGGUGAGUAAUGCGUCGGAACGUGCCGAGUAGUGGGGGAUAACGCAGCGAAAGUUGUGCUAAUACCGCAUACGUACUGAGGUAGAAAGUGGGGGACCUUCGGGCCUCACGCUAUUCGAGCGGCCGACGUCUGAUUAGCUAGUAGGUGAGGUAAAGGCUCACCUAGGCGACGACCAGUAGCGGGUCUGAGAGGAUGAUCCGCCACACUGGGACUGAGACACGGCCCAGACUCCUACGGGAGGCAGCAGUGGGGAAUAUUGGACAAUGGGCGGAAGCCUGAUCCAGCCAUGCCGCGUGUGUGAAGAAGGCCUUUUGGUUGUAAAGCACUUUAAGCGAGGAGGAGGCUGCUAGUAUUAAUACUACUGGAUAGUGGACGUUACUCGCAGAAUAAGCACCGGCUAACUCUGUGCCAGCCGCCGCAGUAAAAC
rnacentral:rRNA from 1 species